AUUGAACGCUGGCGGCAGGCCUAACACAUGCAAGUCGAGCGAGCGGCGGACGGGUGAGUAAUGUCUGGGAACCUGCUUGUUGGGGGGGGAUACCUACUGGAAACGGUAGUUAAUACCGCAUACCAUCAGAUGUGCCCAGGUGGGAUUAGCUGGUGGGUGGGGUAACGGCCCACCUAGGCGACGAUCCCUAGCUGGUCUGAGAGGAUGACCAGCCACACUGGAACUGAGACACGGGCCAGACUCCUACGGGAGGCAGCAGUGGGGAAUAUUGCACAAUGGGCGCAAGCCUGAUGCAGCCAUGCCGCGUGUGUGAAGAAGGCCUUCGGGUUGUAAAGCACUUUCAGCGGGGAGGCGUUACCCGCAGAAGAAGCACCGGCUAACUCCGUGCCAGCAGCCGCGGUAAUUC
rnacentral:rRNA from 1 species